CCUACGGGCGGCAGCAGUGAGGAAUAUUGGUCAAUGGACGCGAGUCUGAACCAGCCAAGUAGCGUGAAGGAUGACUGCCCUAUGGGUUGUAAACUUCUUUUAUAUGGGAAUAAAAUGUUCCACGUAUAGGAUUUUGUAUGUACCAUAUGAAUAAGGAUCGGCUAACUCCGUGCCAGCAGCCGCGGUAAUACGGAGGAUCCGAGCGUUAUCCGGAUUUAUUGGGUUUAAAGGGAGCGUAGGUGGAUUGUUAAGUCAGUUGUGAAAGUUUGCGGCUCAACCGUAAAAUUGCAGUUGAAACUGGCAGUCUUGAGUACAGUAGAGGUGGGCGGAAUUCGUGGUGUAGCGGUGAAAUGCUUAGAUAUCACGAAGAACUCCGAUUGCGAAGGCAGUUCACUGGACUGCAACUGACACUGAGGCUCGAAAGUGUGGGUAUCAAACAGGAUUAGAUACCCCUGUAGUC
rnacentral:rRNA from 1 species